rnacentral:rRNA from 1 species
UACAGAGGGGGCAAGCGUUGUUCGGAAUUACUGGGCGUAAAGGGCGCGUAGGCGGCCAUCUAAGUCAGACGUGAAAUCCCCCGGCUUAACCUGGGAACUGCGUCUGAUACUGGACGGCUUGAGUAUGGGAGAGGGAUGUAGAAUUCCAGGUGUAGCGGUGAAAUGCGUAGAUAUCAGGAGGAACACCAAUUGCGAAGGCAGCUCGCUGGGACGUUACUGACGCUGAGACGCGAAAGCGUGGGGAGCAAACAGG